rnacentral:rRNA from 1 species
GUAGUCAUAUGCUUGUCUCAAAGAUUAAGCCAUGCAUGUCUAAGUAUAAGCAAUCAUACUGUGAAACUGCGAAUGGCUCAUUAUAUCAGUUAUCGUUUAUUUGAUAGUACCUUACUACAUGGAUAACCGUGGUAAUUCUAGAGCUAAUACAUGCUAAAAACCUCGACUUCGGAAGGGGUGUAUUUAUUAGAUAAAAAACCAAUGCCCUCUGGGCUUCUUGGUGAUUCAUAAUAACUUCACGAAUCGCAUGGCCUUGCGCCGGCGAUGGUUCAUUCAAAUUUCUGCCCUAUCAACUUUCGAUGGUAGGAUAGUGGCCUACCAUGGUUUCCACGGGUAACGGGGAAUUAGGGUUCUAUUCCGGAGAGGGAGCCUGAGAAACGGCUACCACAUCCAAGGAAGGCAGCAGGCGCGCAAAUUACCCAAUCCCGACACGGGGAGGUAGUGACAAUAAAUACUGAUGCAGGGCUCUUUUGGGUCUUGCAAUCGGAAUGAGUACAGUCUAAAUCCCUUAACGAGGAACAAUUGGAGGGCAAGUCUGGUGCCAGCAGCCGCGGUAAUUCCAGCUCCAAUAGCGUAUAUUAAAGUUGUUGCAGUUAAAAAGCUCGUAGUUGAACCUUGGGCCUGGCUGGUCGGUCCGCCUCACCGCGUGUACUGAUCCGGCCGGGCCUUUCCUCCUGGGGAAUCGCAUGCCCUUCACUGGGUGUGUCGGGGAACCAGGACUUUUACUUUGAAAAAAUUAGAGUGUUCAAAGCAGGCCUUUGCUCGAAUACAUUAGCAUGGAAUAAUAGAAUAGGACGUGUGGUUCUAUUUUGUUGGUUUCUAGGACCGCCGUAAUGAUUAAUAGGGAUAGUCGGGGGCAUCAGUAUUCAAUUGUCAGAGGUGAAAUUCUUGGAUUUAUUGAAGACUAACUACUGCGAAAGCAUUUGCCAAGGAUGUUUUCAUUAAUCAGUGAACGAAAGUUAGGGGAUCGAAGACGAUCAGAUACCGUCGUAGUCUUAACCAUAAACUAUGCCGACUAGGGAUCGGGCGAUGUUAUCUUUUGACUCGCUCGGCACCUUACGAGAAAUCAAAGUCUUUGGGUUCUGGGGGGAGUACGUCAGCAAUGAUGAAACUUAAAGAAAUUGACGGAAGGGCACCACCAGGAGUGGAGCCUGCGGCUUAAUUUGACUCAACACGGGGAAACUCACCAGGUCCAGACAUGAAAAGGAUUGACAGAUUGAGAGCUCUUUCUUGAUCUCAUGGGUGGUGGUGCAUGGCCGUUCUUAGUUGGUGGAGUGAUUUGUCUGCUUAAUUGCGAUAACGAACGAGACCUUAACCUGCUAAAUAGCCCGGUUUGCUUUGGCAGAUCGCUGGCUUCUUAGAGGGACUAUCGGCUCAAGCCGAUGGAAGUUUGAGGCAAUAACAGGUCUGUGAUGC